GCUUUUAAAAACACUAUAUCAAAACAAAAACUAUAAACACCUCGGACAGACGUUCGUCUUCUAGAAUUUCAUUUUUCGCUGUUAAUCAAAUCCAUUUCUCUCUGUCCGACGUAGUUUAUAUAAUAACAACAACAGAUUGAAUAUUUCCUUACCGUCGUAAACAAACAACCAAAGUAGAGAGAGACAAAAAAUCAUCAAUUUUUUUACCUUUUUCCCGUAUUUCUUUCCCGUAUUUCUCCAAUCCCUUGAAUUAUUAUUUCACAUUUUUUCUUUUUUAAAAUACCUUCUAUAUCAAUUUUAAUAUUACCUACACAUCUUACACAUAUCUUCUGCAUCUAAAACAUCCUAUACUACCUGAAAGCAUUACAUAUAUACAUUGCAUAGAUUUGGACACAAUUUUGAAUCUGUUGUCAACACAUCUUGCCUUAUAUUCCCAAACAACCAAGUAGAGAGAGAAAAAAAUCAAUUUUUUACCUUUUUCCCGUAUUUCUCCAAUCCCUUGAAUUAUUAUUUCACAUUUUUUCUUUUCAAAAUACCUUCUAUAUCAAUUUUAAUAUUACCUACACAUCUUACACAUAUCCUCUGUUUCCAAAACAUCAUAUAUUACCUGAAAGCAUCACAUAUACAUUGCAUAGAUUUCGAUACAAUUUUGAAUCUGU